GACGAACGCUGGCGGCGUGCUUAACACAUGCAAGUCGAACGGUAAGGCUCCAGCUUGCUGGGGUACACGAGUGGCGAACGGGUGAGUAACACGUGGGUGACCUGCCCUGCACUUCGGGAUAAGCCUGGGAAACUGGGUCUAAUACCGGAUAGGACCAUGGUGUGGAUACUGUGGUGGAAAGUUUUUUCGGUGUGGGAUGGGCCCGCGGCCUAUCCGCUUGUUGGUGGGGUAAUGGCCUACCAAGGCGGCGACGGGUAGCCGGCCUGAGAGGGUGGACGGCCACAUUGGGACUGAGACACGGCCCAGACUCCUACGGGAGGCAGCAGUGGGGAAUAUUGCACAAUGGGCGGAAGCCUGAUGCAGCGACGCCGCGUGGGGGAUGACGGCCUUCGGGUUGUAAACUCCUUUCACCAUCGACGAAGGGUUUCUGACGGUAGAUGGAGAAGAAGCACCGGCUAACUACGUG
rnacentral:rRNA from 1 species